GAUGAACGCUGGCGGCGUGCCUAAUACAUGCAAGUCGAGCGAACAGACGAGAAGCUUGCUCCUCUGAUGUUAGCGGCGGACGGGUGAGUAACACGUGGAUAACCUACCUAUAAGACUGGGAUAACUUCGGGAAACCGGAGCUAAUACCGGAUAAUAUUUUGAACCGCAUGGUUCAAUAGUGAAAGACGGUCUUGCUGUCACUUAUAGAUGGAUCCGCGCCGCAUUAGCUAGUUGGUAAGGUAACGGCUUACCAAGGCAACGAUGCAUAGCCGACCUGAGAGGGUGAUCGGCCACACUGGAACUGAGACACGGUCCAGACUCCUACGGGAGGCAGCAGUAGGGAAUCUUCCGCAAUGGGCGAAAGCUUGACGGAGCAACGCCGCGUGAGUGAUGAAGGUCUUCGGAUCGUAAAACUCUGUUAUUAGGGAAGAACAUAUGUGUAAGUAACUGUGCACAUCUUGACGGUACCUAAUCAGAAAGCCACGGCUAACUACGUG
rnacentral:rRNA from 1 species